AUGUUCUACUAUGGCCUAGAUUUCCAUGAUCUGGCCCUGAAUUUCAUCCUCAACAUCUCGGCGUUUAUCGUCAUGUGCGAGGCCUUCCUCUGCAUCCAGCCCCACUUCGGCUUGUGGCUCAAGACCUUCAGUGUCAAGCUGAAGGUUGUGAAGGGCAGCCAAGCGGAGUGCGGAGGCGCCAUGGUGGGCAGGAUGUCCCACGUUACGUGGCUGGAGGGCACUUUCAUGAAAACCAUCAAGGGGUGGAAAUCGGGGUGGUUCUAUAUCACCGAGCCGCGUGACCCUAAUUGGGCAGCGGCCUCCAAAUUCAGAUCCGGCAUCCCUACACGGCUCACCUCCUGGAAACAGAGCGGCCGGAUCUGGGGGGAUUAG
rnacentral:rRNA from 1 species